UAGGGAAUCUUCGGCAAUGGACGAAAGUCUGACCGAGCAACGCCGCGUGAGUGAAGAAGGUUUUCGGAUCGUAAAACUCUGUUGUUAGAGAAGAACAAGGACGUUAGUAACUGAACGUCCCCUGACGGUAUCUAACCCGAAAGCCACGGCUAAAUACGUGCCAGCAGCCGCGGUAAUACGUAGGUGGCAAGCGUUGUCCGGAUUUAUUGGGCGUAAAGCGAGCGCAGGCGGUUUCUUAAGUCUGAUGUGAAAGCCCCCGGCUCAACCGGGGAGGGUCAUUGGAAACUGGGAGACUUGAGUGCAGAAGAGGAGAGUGGAAUUCCAUGUGUAGCGGUGAAAUGCGUAGAUAUAUGGAGGAACACCAGUGGCGAAGGCGGCUUUCUGGUCUGUAACUGACGCUGAGGCUCGAAAGCGUGGGGAGCAAACAGG
rnacentral:rRNA from 1 species